GUGAAUUUGAUGAUGAUGGUGAAGAUGAUGAUGAAAGUGAGGUGGAUAUUGGUGGGGAUUCGUUGAAUCAGUUUGGUGAUGAUGAAACUAUUCAGGUGAUGUGAAAGGUGUCGAGGAAUUGUUGAAGGAAGGGACGGAUGUGAAUAGUAUUGAUUUGGAUGGAAGGACUGCGCUGCAUAUUGCUGCUUGUGACGGGCAUGUGGAUGUUGUUAAGAUGUUGUUGAGUCGGAAAGCCAAUAUCGAUGCUUGUGAUCGGUGGGGGAGUAUGAAGAAGGACAUAUUCUAGAGAUAUUUCUUUACCUGGUGAACUGGAAAUGCAGUCAGGUUAUGAAGAUCCGUCUCACGUCUUUUGAACAAAAUUAUUGAAUAGGAAAACCCAAGGUGGAGAUAUUUUCCUGCUGCAUCCUCACCUUAGAGGAUCCGUAAACGAGUUCAAUAUUUCCAAGGCUCAUUGGAAAAUGAGAAUUUUGACAGUGAUGAUGUCACGAAGAAGAGAAGGAAGGUUCUCACUGGUACCAUUGUUGCGGGAGAAUCUGAAACUCCAGAUUUUGAUUGCUCCAUAAAAGUUGACGGUGGUGAUAGGUUUCAUCUUAUUUGU